AGCGAACGCUGGCGGCAGGCCUAACACAUGCAAGUCGAGCGCCCAGCAAUGGGAGCGGCAGACGGGUGAGUAACGUGUGGGGAUCUACCCAUUGGUACGGAAUAACCCAGGGAAACUUGGACUAAUACCGUAUGUGCCCUUCGGGGGAAAGAUUUAUCGCCAAUGGAUGAACCCGCGUCGGAUUAGCUAGUUGGUGAGGUAAAGGCUCACCAAGGCGACGAUCCGUAGCUGGUCUGAGAGGAUGAUCAGCCACACUGGGACUGAGACACGGCCCAGACUCCUACGGGAGGCAGCAGUGGGGAAUAUUGGACAAUGGGCGCAAGCCUGAUCCAGCCAUGCCGCGUGAGUGAUGAAGGCCUUAGGGUUGUAAAGCUCUUUCGCCGGUGAAGGUAAUGACGGUAACCGGAGAAGAAGCCCCGGCUAACUUCGUGCCAGCCGCCGCGGUAAUAC
rnacentral:rRNA from 1 species